GCUUGUAUAGUGUAGGUGGUUAUCAUUGGUCGUUGUGGUUCGCAGCAAUCUUCUCCUCAUCUGACCCGACCGCUGUUCGACUCAGCGUGCGAGCA